CAGACUUUGAUCCUGGCUCAGGAUGAACGCUAGCUACAGGCUUAACACAUGCAAGUCGAGGGGAAACGACAUCGAAAGCUUGCUUUUGAUGGGCGUCGACCGGCGCACGGGUGAGUAACGCGUAUCCAACCUGCCCACCACUUGGGGAUAACCUUGCGAAAGUAAGACUAAUACCCAAUGAUAUCUCUAGAAGACAUCUGAAAGAGAUUAAAGAUUUAUCGGUGAUGGAUGGGGAUGCGCCUGAUUAGCUUGUCGGCGGGGUAACGGCCCACCAAGGCAACGAUCAGUAGGGGUUCUGAGAGGAAGGUCCCCCACAUUGGAACUGAGACACGGUCCAAACUCCUACGGGAGGCAGCAGUGAGGAAUAUUGGUCAAUGGACGAGAGUCUGAACCAGCCAAGUAGCGGCAGGAUGACGGCCCUAUGGGUUGUAAACUGCUUUUAUAAGGGAAUAAAGUGAGUCUCGUGAGACUUUUUGCAUGUACCUUAUGAAUAAGGACCGGCUAAUUCCGUGCCAGCAGCCGCGGUAAUACGGAAGGUCCGGGCGUUAUCCGGAUUUAUUGGGUUUAAAGGGAGCGUAGGCCGGAGAUUAAGCGUGUUGUGAAAUGUAGACGCUCAACGUCUGCACUGCAGCGCGAACUGGUUUCCUUGAGUACGCACAAAGUGGGCGGAAUUCGUGGUGUAGCGGUGAAAUGCUUAGAUAUCACGAAGAACUCCGAUUGCGAAGGCAGCUCACUGGAGCGCAACUGACGCUGAAGCUCGAAAGUGCGGGUAUCGAACAGGAUUAGAUACCCA
rnacentral:rRNA from 1 species